ACCCUCUUAGGGUCGCAACUGACGAGUUUCCAGCACUCUACCAGUCUUGGCUACGGGAGGGAGAGUCAAGCAGAGGCCUACAUUCCAUUCCUAGCUUGGCCAGUGACUAGCAAGUGGAAGGUAAUCUGCUACAAAA
rfam:Ornithorhynchus anatinus chromosome 4, whole genome shotgun sequence.